GUAAAACAUCUCCUUGCCAAGGAGAAGAUGCGGUUC
rnacentral:tRNA from 1 species